rnacentral:rRNA from 1 species
UGGGGAAUUUUGGACAAUGGGGGAAACCCUGAUCCAGCCAUCCCGCGUGUGCGAUGAAGGCCUUCGGGUUGUAAAGCACUUUUGGCAGGAAAGAAACGUCAUGGGUUAAUACCCCGUGAAACUGACGGUACCUGCAGAAUAAGCACCGGCUAACUACGUGCCAGCAGCCGCGGUAAUACGUAGGGUGCAAGCGUUAAUCGGAAUUACUGGGCGUAAAGCGUGCGCAGGCGGUUCGGAAAGAAAGAUGUGAAAUCCCAGAGCUCAACUUUGGAACUGCAUUUUUAACUACCGGGCUAGAGUGUGUCAGAGGGAGGUGGAAUUCCGCGUGUAGCAGUGAAAUGCGUAGAUAUGCGGAGGAACAACGAUGGCGAAGGCAGCCUCCUGGGAUAACACUGACGAUCAUGCACGAAAGCGUGGGGAGCAAACAGG